UAAAGAUGUAAAAGGUGUUCGUCAAUUAUUAGGACUGGCUGGAUACUUUAGACGUUUCGUGAAAAACUUUGCAACUUUGACAGCACCGAUAUCUGCACUGUUACGUAAGGGAAAAACUUUUGAGUGGACAAGUGAAUGUGAAAAUGUGCGAUUGGAUUUAGUGAAACGAUUGACUUCUUAUCCGAUUUUGAACAUUUUUGAUCCGGAACUGACUACCGAACUACACACAGACGCGAGUUCGCUUGGAUUGGGUGCCAUACUUAUGCAAAAAGACUUAAAUAAUGUGCUUCAUCCAGUGGCGUAUUACUCUAGGCGUACAACUGAUUGUGAAUCGCGAUAUCAUUCUUAUGAUUUGGAAACUCUAGCGAUAGUGGAAGCCACUCAGUAUUUUCGCACAUAUCUGUAUGGUAUAAAGUUUACAAUCUAUACAGACUGUAAUUCAGUAAGGGCUACAGCACUCAAAAAGGAACUACACCCCCGCGUUGCAAGAUGGUGGAUAAAAUUGCAGGACUUUAAUUUUGAUAUAGAAUAUAGACCAGGACAUAAAAUGGCACAUGUCGACUAUUUAAGUCGAAAUACAGCAUCUCCGACAAAACGAAUUUUAGCAGCACGAAUUAUUGCUAACAAACCAAAGACAAUUUGUGAAUAUCAAUCAGAGGAUGUGUUUUGUCAGACAAUAAUAAACAAAACGCAUCAUGAGACGGGAUAUAUAGUGAAAGACAAUUUAGUGUUUUUACAAUGUUCAAAUGAUGGUCGCGAACGUUGUUUUGUACCUGUAGCAGCUCGACUAGAGAUAAUGAAACUGUAUCAUGAUAACUCGUCUCAUAUUGGUGCUGAUAAAAUGUUAAUGAAAUUACGUGAGGACUUAAUAUGGCCACGCAUGGGUAAAACAGUACGCAAAUAUGUUGCAAAUUGUAGAUCGUGUGUGUUGGGUAAAUCUUUUACUGGAAAACGGAGUGGAUUGUGUCAACAGAAAACGAAGUAAAAUGGAUACGUGGCAUAUUGACCAUGCCGGACCUUUGGUCAAAUCUAAUAAAUGCACUCAAAUUUUAGUGGUUAUAGACGCUUUUACUAAAUUUGUGCGAUUUUGUCCUAUUAGACAAAAAAAUGCCGAAUGUACUAUAAAGGCAUUAGAUGCAUUAUUUAUGGAAUUGGGUCGACCAAAACGAAUAAUAGCUGAUCGGGGAACAGCAUUUGUAGCGAGUAAAUUUCGAGAAUUUCUCAAUGAUAACUCUGUUGAGCUACACCUAAUUGCAACAGGAGUUCCUAGAGGUAAUGGACAAGUGGAACGCGUUAUGAGAAGUUUGUUUAAUGCGAUGCGUGCUGUGUUGAAUGAAAAAGACGAAAAUAAAUGGACAAAAGUGCUACCUGAUAUUGAGGACGAUUUUAAUGUAACUGUGAACAAAUCGACAGGAUUCGCGCCGUGGAUAUUAAUGUUUGGUGAAAAUCGACGUCUGAGAGCAACUAACGAACUGUUAAAUGGUGUGCCAAUACAGACAAGUGAUGUGGACGCUGAAAUACUUAGACAACAAGCUCACAGUCGCGUGUGCGAAGUAACCAGUAGAACAAUUACAAACUUUAAUAAGAAAAGAGUGCCGGCAAUACCAUACGCUGUUGGUGAUAAAGUUGUUAUUGAAAAUAGUCAGCUGUCGAAUGGAGGAAAAUUGAAACCAAAGUAUCACGGACCCUUUGAGGUAACGCAUUGUUUACCUAAUGAGAGGUACGCACUCCGAAGGAUUGGCAGCCGAGGUAGAACUACAAUAGCAGCGCAUGAACAGUUACGAACCUGGCCAGAUACAGAAAUUCUAUAAGAUUACCGGUGUCAGGUGAAUCUUUGCAAAACUGCGGAAGGUGCGAGGACGCCCCACAUGUCAGGAAGGCCGUGUUAGCUUACGUCAUCACCUUCACCGAUGGACCGAUGCGACGUGCUCACAUCUAUUUAGACUAGUUUUGUUUCAUAAGCAAAUCUGAAGUAUUUGUUUACAUUUAAUAAUCGGGGCAGUUCUUAAGAAAGAACCAGGCAGUCAAGCUUUAGAUGUCGAGGGUUAAAGUACGUUUGUUGUAAUAAAGCGUAUUAUUGUGAA